UACGAAGGGGCUAGCGUUGUUCGGAAUCACUGGGCGUAAAGCGCACGUAGGCGGAUCUUUAAGUCAGGGGUGAAUCCCGAGGCUCAACCUCGGAACUGCCUUUGAUACUGGGGAUCUCGAGUCCGGGAGAGGUGGAGUGGAACUGCGAGUGUAGAGGUGAAUUCGUAGAUAUUCGCAAGGAACACCAGUGGCGAAGGCGGCUCACUGGCCGGACUGACGCUGAGGUGCGAAAGCGUGGGGAGCAAACAGG
rnacentral:rRNA from 1 species